CCUACGGGGGGCAGCAGUGAGGAAUAUUGGUCAAUGGUCGGGAGACUGAACCAGCCAAGCCGCGUGAGGGAGGAAGGUACAGAGUAUCGUAAACCUCUUUUGUCAGGGAACAAAGACUGGGACGCGUCCCCGGAUGAGUGUACCUGAAGAAAAAGCAUCGGCUAACUCCGUGCCAGCAGCCGCGGUAAUACGGAGGAUGCGAGCGUUAUCCGGAUUUAUUGGGUUUAAAGGGUGCGUAGGCGGUCCGUUAAGUCAGCGGUAAAAUUGCGGGGCUCAACCCCGUCGAGCCGUUGAAACUGGCAGAC
rnacentral:rRNA from 1 species